rnacentral:rRNA from 1 species
UGCGUCGUGACUGCGUGCCUUUUGAAGAAUGAGCCUGCGAGUUAGCGGUGUGUAGCGAGGUUAACCCGUGUGGGGAAGCCGUAGCGAAAGCGAGUCCGAACAGGGCGUUUGAGUUGCACGCUCUAGACCCGAAGCGGAGUGAUCUAGCCAUGGGCAGGUUGAAGCGGCUGUAAGAGGUCGUGGAGGACCGAACCCACCAGGGUUGAAAACCUGGGGGAUGACCUGUGGUUAGGGGUGAAAGGCCAAUCAAACUCCGUGAUAGCUGGUUCUCCCCGAAAUGCAUUUAGGUGCAGCGUCGUGUGUUUCUUGCCGGAGGUAGAGCACUGGAUAGGCGAUGGGCCCUACCGGGUUACUGACCUUAGCCAAACUCCGAAUGCCGGUAAGUGAGAGCGCGGCAGUGAGACUGUGGGGGAUAAGCUCCAUGGUCGAGAGGGAAACAGCCCAGAGCAUCGACUAAGGCCCCUAAGCGUACGCUAAGUGGGAAAGGAUGUGGAGUCGCAGAGACAACCAGGAGGUUGGCUUAGAAGCAGCCACCCUUGAAAGAGUGCGUAAUAGCUCACUGGUCUAGUGAUUCCGCGCCGACAAUGUAGCGGGGCUCAAGCGUACCGCCGAAGUCGUGUCAUUGCAGCA